rnacentral:rRNA from 1 species
GAGUUUGAUCCUGGCUCAGGAUGAACGCUAGCGGCAGGCUUAACACAUGCAAGUCGAGGGGGAACAGGGAGGAGCUUGCUUUUCCGCUGACGACCGGCGCACGGGGGCGUAACGCGUAUAGAACCUUUUACAGGGGAAUAGCCCAGAGAAAUUUGGAUUAAUGCCCCAUAGUAUUAUUGAAUGGCAUCAUUUAAUAAUUAAACAUUUAUGGGUAAAAGAUGGCUAUGCGUUCUAUUAGCUAGAUGGUAAGGUAACGGCUUACCAUGGCAACGAUAGAUAGGGGUCCUGAGAGGGAGAUCCCCCACACUGGUACUGAGACACGGACCAGACUCCUACGGGAGGCAGCAGUGAGGAAUAUUGGGCAAUGGAGGCAACUCUGACCCAGCCAUGCCGCGUGCAGGAAGACUGCCCUAUGGGUUGUAAACUGCUUUUAUACAGGAAGAAACACUCCCUCGUGAGGGAGCUUGACGGUACUGUAAGAAUAAGGAUCGGCUAACUCCGUGCCAGCAGCCGCGGUAAUACGGAGGAUCCACGCGUUAUCCGGAAUCAUUGGGUUUAAAGGGUCCGUAGGUGGAUAAUUUAGUCAGAGGUGAAAUCCUGCAGCUCAACUGUAGAAUUGCCUUUGAUACUGGUUAUCUUGAGUUAUUAUGAAGUAGUUAGAAUAUGUAGUGUAGCGGUGAAAUGCAUAGAUAUUACAUAGAAUACCAAUUGCGAAGGCAGAUUACUAAUAAUACACUGACACUGAGGGACGAAAGCGUGGGUAGCGAACAGGAUUAGAUACCCUGGUAGUCCACGCCGUAAACGAUGGAUACUAGCUGUUCGGAUUUAUCUGAGUGGCUAAGCGAAAGUGAUAAGUAUCCCACCUGGGGAGUACGUUCGCAAGAAUGAAACUCAAAGGAAUUGACGGGGGCCCGCACAAGCGGUGGAGCAUGUGGUUUAAUUCGAUGAUACGCGAGGAACCUUACCAGGGCUUAAAUGUAGUGGGACAGGGGUGGAAACACUCUUUUCUUCGGACUCAUUACAAGGUGCUGCAUGGUUGUCGUCAGCUCGUGCCGUGAGGUGUCAGGUUAAGUCCUAUAACGAGCGCAACCCCUAUCGUUAGUUGCUAGCAGGUCAUGCUGAGGACUCUAACGAGACUGCCGGUGCAAACCGUGAGGAAGGUGGGGAUGACGUCAAAUCAUCACGGCCCUUACGUCCUGGGCUACACACGUGCUACAAUGGCCGGUACAGAGAGCAGCCAUGCCGCAAGGCAGAGCGAAUCUACAAAACCGGUCACAGUUCGGAUCGGGGUCUGCAACUCGACCCCGUGAAGCUGGAAUCGCUAGUAAUCGGAUAUCAGCCAUGAUCCGGUGAAUACGUUCCCGGGCCUUGUACACACCGCCCGUCAAGCCAUGGAAGCUGGGAGUAUCUGAACUCGGUCACCGCAAGGAGCCGCCUAGGGUAAAACUGGUAACUAGGGCUAAGUCGUAACAAGGUAGCCGU